NNNNNNNNNAGGAUUCNCCUAGUAACUGCGAGUGAAGCGGGAAAAGCUCAAAUUUAAAAUCUGGCGGUUCCACCGUCCGAGUUGUAAUCUGGAGAAGCGUUUCCCGUGUCGGACCGUGCACAAGUCUCUUGGAACAGAGCGUCAUAGAGGGUGAGAAUCCCGUUUUAUGGCACGGACCCCCGAUACUUUGUGAUACGUGUCCUAAGAGUCGAGUUGUUUGGGAAUGCAGCUCAAAAUGGGUGGUAAAUUCCAUCUAAAGCUAAAUAUAGGCGAGAGACCGAUAGCGAACAAGUACCGUGAGGGAAAGAUGAAAAGCACUUUGGAAAGAGAGUUAAACAGUACGUGAAAUUGUUGAAAGGGAAACGCUUGAAGUCAGUCGCGUCUYCUAGGACUCAGCCUUACUUCGGUWAGGUGUACUUCCUGGUUUGACGGGUCAACAUCGAUUUUGAUCGACGGAUAAAGGAGAAGGGAAUGUGGCACCUCCGGGUGUGUUAUAGCCCUCUUCGUAUACGUCGAUUGGGAUCGAGGACUGCAGCACGCCCUUGUGGCCGGGGGUUCGCCCUACGUAUCGUGCUUAGGAUGUUGACAUAAUGGCUUUAAGCGACCCGUCUUGAAACACGGACCAAGGAGUCUAACAUGCUCGCGAGUGUUAGGGUGGAAAACCCUUGCGCGUAAUGAAAGUGAAAGUUGGGACCUUUGCAAGGAGGGCACCGACGCCCGGCCCUGAAGUUCUCUGACGGUGCUGCGGUAGAGCGCGUAUGUUGGGACCCGAAAGAUGGUGAACUAUGCCUGAAUAGGGCGAAGCCAGAGGAAACUCUGGUGGAGGCUCGUAGCGAUUCUGACGUGCAAAUCGAUCGUCAAAUUUGGGUAUAGGGGCGAAAGACUAAUCGANCCAUNNNNNNNNNNNNNNNNNNN
rnacentral:rRNA from 1 species